rnacentral:rRNA from 1 species
GAUGAACGCUGACAGAAUGCUUAACACAUGCAAGUCUUUGGCGAAUCUGUGCUUGCGCAGGCUAGCCAAGGCGGACGGGUGAGUAACGCGUAAAGAACUUGCCCUGCAGACAGGGAUAACAGACGGAAACGACUGAUAACACCUGAUACAGUUGCCGGCACGCAUGUGCCUGGCAAUGAAAAGAGAUGCUGCAGGAGAGCUUUGCGUCCUAUUAGCUUGUUGGUGAGGUGACGGCUCACCAAGGCGAUGAUAGGUAGCCGGCCUGAGAGGGUGAACGGCCACAAGGGGACUGAGAUACGGCCCUUACUCCUACGGGAGGCAGCAGUGGGGAAUAUUGGACAAUGGGGGCAACCCUGAUCCAGCAAUUCUGUGUGCACGAAGAAGGUUUUCGGAUUGUAAAGUGCUUUCAGCAGGGAAGAAGAAAGUGACGGUACCUGCAGAAGAAGCGACGGCUAAAUACGUG